UGGUGGAGUGAUUUGUCUGGUUAAUUCCGUUAACGAACGAGACCUUAACCUACUAAAUAGUUACGCGAACCUGUGUUCGUGGACAACUUCUUAGAGGGACUAUUCGUGUCUAGCGAAUGGAAGUUUGAGGCAAUAACA
rnacentral:rRNA from 1 species